rnacentral:rRNA from 1 species
CAAUUUUUAUGUAAAUUUAAAUGUUAAUCUAAAGAGGUACAGCUCUUUAGACCAAGGAUACAACCUUAAUUAGAGAGUAAAAUAUGUUAACAACCAUAGUUGGCCUAAAAGCAGCCACCAAUUAAGAAAGCGUUCAAGCUCAACAAACACUUCUACCUUAAUAAUUUAAAACCAAAACAACUCCUAAAUUCACACUGGAUUAAUCUAUAUUAUUAUAGAAGAAAUACUGUUAAUAUGAGUAACAAGAUAAAUUAUCUCCACGCGCAAGUUUAUGUCAGAUCUAAUAAUAACUGAUAGUUAACAGUCAACUAAACAAAAUCUAAAAUUAAUUAUUUACUUAAAUCCACUGUUAACCCAACACAGGAGCGCAAUAUAUUAAAGGAAAGAUUAAAUGAAGUAAAAGGAACUCGGCAAACAUAAACCCCGCCUGUUUACCAAAAACAUCACCUCUAGCAUUACUAGUAUUAGAGGCACUGCCUGCCCAGUGACAUUCGUUAAACGGCCGCGGUAUCCUGACCGUGCAAAGGUAGCAUAAUCAUUUGUUCUUUAAAUAAGGACUUGUAUGAAUGGCCACACGAGGGUUUAACUGUCUCUUACUUCCAAUCAGUGAAAUUGACCUUUCCGUGAAGAGGCGGAAAUAAAUAAAUAAGACGAGAAGACCCUAUGGAGCUUUAAUUUACUUAAUCCAACAGAAUUAUCUUAACCCAAAAGGAUCCACUAUAAUUCUAACUGGACUAAAAAUUUCGGUUGGGGUGACCUCGGAGAAUAAACUAACCUCCGAGAAACUUAUACUAAGACUAACAAGUCUAAGUGAAAUAUAUUACUGAUCCAGUCUAACUGAUCAACGGAACAAGUUACCCUAGGGAUAACAGCGCAAUCCUAUUCAAGAGUCCAUAUCGACAAUAGGGUUUACGACCUCGAUGUUGGAUCAGGACAUCCUAAUGGUGCAGCAGCUAUUAAUGGUUCGUUU